GGAUUAGAAACCCGGGUAGUCCACGCAGUAAACGAUGUGCACUAGGUGUGGGGGUGUAGACCCCUCCGUGCCGGCGCUAACGCAGUAAGUGCACCGCCUGGGGAGGUACGGCCGCAAGGCUAAAACUCAAAGGAAUUGACGGGGGCCCGGCACAAGCAGCGGAGCGUGUGGUUUAAUUCGACGCAACGCGCAAAACCUUACCAGGGCUUGACGUCCUUGGAAUCUUGCUGAAAAGGCAGGAGUGCCCUUCGGGGAGCCAGGAGACAGGUGUUGCAUGGCUGUCGUCAGCUCGUGUCGUGAGAUGUUGGGUUAAGUCCCGCAACGAGCGCAACCCUUGUGGCUAGUUACGUGGAUGUCUAGCCAGACUGCCAGACUGCUGGAGGAAGGCGGGG
rnacentral:rRNA from 1 species